AAAUUUAAAUCUCAGUUAGUCAAUAUUAUUUGGGACAGCUAUUGCGAGAUUUCGUUAAUUCCAAAAUUACCAAAUGGAACCAGAAUUUAAAUUCCGAUUCUUAUCUAAGUGAUUAUUUACAAGCAAAAUAACGAGUGCAGAAAUUGAUUUAAAAACAUUUGUUCAUCGCAAAAGCAAAUACUGGCACACACACAUGGAUUUAUUCAACCAUAUUUCCAUACCCAUAUGUAUGUGCAAGUAUGUGUGUAUCUAUAUAUAAUAUAAAAUUUACGAUUGCAAAGCUCACAGCAAAUUCAAUUUGUAGACCGCUUAACAAUCGAGCGUUGCAUAAAAAUUCCAGUGGGCAGAUUGAAUACAAAAAUAUCUCUCUAAUUAAAUGAAUGCCAAUUAAGUGCUCUUUGUUGCAGUAAUUUUGCUCGAUUGCUUUGGAGUGUUUGCGUGUGCGAAUGGUGGACUGAAGUGUGCGAUUAGUGGUCAAUCCGAGUGGCGUCAGAUGGGCAAAUGGGCUUAACCAGCUCAAAAGUAACAAGGCGAGGCAACAAACAUUCGAUGAAUUUGGCUUUGUCUAUGCCGCUGAUGCUGGAUAAUAGCGUUCGCUGAUGGAGUUUGCGGAGGCUAGCGGUUGUUAUGAUAAGCAGCUCACGCGAAACAACCUUGGGAGGUGCCGGAUUUACAGCUGAAUUUGUGCUGUCAGUGAAUGACAGCAUCUGAAAAUCCGAAAGCACGAGUAGCUGUGUAUUUGACAGCUGUUGGGAAUCGACUAUACUUUAUAAUGCAUUGUUGUUUUUAAGGAAUCGCAAAAUAAAUCUUUCUUUAUUUCCAGACAUACAUACAUACAUACAAACGUACGUAUGUCUGCAUAUGUUUAUGAA